AAGAGCCCAUCAGGCCCAUGCGUUAAGACGGUCCUGGCUAUGUAACCCAUCUGGGGCUCCUCACAAAAUGAAGAACACAGGCUGUAAAUGUAAUGUAAGCCUAAUCCUAAUUUUGGUGUCAAAAAGGGUAGGGGUGGACCAGGUGGUAUCUUGAAGAGGCAUCUCAUUUUUUCCCAGGUCAAGGCAAAGUGAGAGACCCCACAUGCACUUCUCCAAUUCUACAUUGAGGAGCCAACUAGUUGAUUGGCAGCUGAAUUUGACCUUGACACUGGUGAUGGGACAGCAUCUUCCACUGCAGGAGUGUGCAGAAGGCCUUUUGGUCUUCAGCUCCCAGAAUUGUCUGCCAGCAUGGCUAAUAGUCAAAAAUGCUGGCAGUUGUUCAAAACAUCUGGAGAUUUGCUCACUGUCCACGCCUAACUAAGGGGGGCAGAUUAAUGGGGGGAGCAGUGCAGAGAAGGAUGCGGAGCAUACACAGCUUUGUCUUCAAACAUUUUAUCAUUACUCCUAAAGCAUAACAAACCUUUCUUUUCUCAUCAGAUAGAUGCCAUGGAGUCUUCAAGGCCACAAGACAUAUUAAAUGUAGAGUUCAGAAGAAAUGAAGCCUUGACAGAAAUGCUAGAUGUUCUAAUUGCAGUGUUAAAACUGGAGAGGAGAACUACCUAAGCUGCCAUGGGUUCCUCCCAGAGGAAAAAAGGCAAGAUAUAAAUACAAUCUAAUAAUAAUGAGCAGCAUACCGAGCAAUCGAGACCCUAACAACCCUCUGUGACAACUCCUGCAAAAAGAGAUUCCUUGCUUGUGCUGUUGCUGCGUGUUUUCCAGAUGCAAAGCAGGAGCAAAUACUUCUCUUUCCAUGUUAUAUAGCAAUGUAGCUGUAUGGGGAGGGGAGAGAAAGAUAAAAAGCAACCACCACUCUUUACCUGGCAGAGAGGAGGACCAUUACUGAAAAGGCCUUGAGAAGGGACUCAACCUAUCCGAUGGAUGUUGACAGAGCCCUGCAAGCAAGGCCUGUGAGACCAAUGUAAAGCCCAAGCAAGUUCAGAUGGAAACAAACCAUCCUUUAAAUAGGUGUGCCCCAAACAGUUUAGGGAAGAAGCAGGCAACCGGUGGCCUCCUUGGCCUAUAACUCUCGCAGGCCUUAGGCACAUAGCCAGUGGGGAGGUCUCCUAAUAACUGUAGCUCCAAACAUUUGGAGGGCCACAAGUUUAGGGUGCAAAAGAUCAACACUAGUAUUUUAAGUUGAGCCGAGAAACAAACAGGCGACCAUUGCUGGUAAACAUAGUAUUGGCAUUAUAUGCUCUGAAUGCAUAUGGACGUGCUAGCGGCUGCAUUCUGUAUUAGAUGACCCUUUAAAGGCAGUCCUACAUCCAGUGCAUCACAGCAGCCUCAUCUAGCUAUAAAGAGGACAGAAUAACUAUGGCAAGCUGGUGCAUUGGGCAAAGGUGGGAAAGCACUCCAAGCCACCGACGACACCUGUGAGACAUCAGCAAAGUACAGGCACAUGUACAGUGUAUGUGUUUUCUUACUGUUCCUGGUCUAUCCAGAAACAUUUACCAUCAGGCCUGCUUCCUUCUUUCCAGCACCUUUCCUAUUACUUUUCUGGAAUAACCUUAUACCAAGUCUAUUUGCUAAUCAAAAGCAAGGAAGAAUGCCCUGUGAAGUAUUUGUGAUCAGGGAUGCUGUUUAAGCCUUAAACUUGGUUAUGUUAUGUUGCUAACAGCCACACCCACAGGACGUCUGAGGUUGAGGCUCUGGCCAACUCAAGGAGAAGCAUUCAUCAGGUCAAGCAAGCGAACUGUGGGAGGAGAUGCCGGUUAGCAAUGCCCACCUUCCAACAGCUUACCUAUGCCAAGUUUUAUGUGCAGUUCCAGUAGGAACAAAUUUCAUCACAACAUUACAAUAUUCAGAACUUCCAACAUUCAACAGAAGAAGAAACAGAAGCUGAAAGUCCAAUUCCAAUAUGUCAACCUAAAUGUUGCUUAAAAAAAGAUACACAAGCUAAUACUCCAGUGCUUUGUAGAAGGCAUAAGCCCCAGGCCCACCCUCCACUUCCAUGUCUCCAGCUCCCAAUCAACAGCCAGUUCAGCAGAAAGGCCCAGACCACCAUCUCACGCUCAACCCCAUCAAGAUUCUCCUCCAAAUGAGGAAAUGAACCAUAUCACUCACUACUAUCAAUGUGGUAUCUUCCCUCUUGAGUAUUUAUCUCUUCGGGAAUGGUAAGAAAUGACCCCCUCUCAAAUUCUUGGAAAUGUGGCUUGGCUCAUUUGCACAAGCCAUCUUGAGUGAUCCCUUCCUCUAGCACCUUUUGGAGUCUAGAACCACAUGGUUCUUGAUUGCAUAGGAUGACCUGUGGGGAGGAAAGAGGGCUGGGCUGUCAGAAUCUGAGCAGCUCCAGGGUUCCAUUUGGUAGCCUGGCCAAGAUCUCCACCUUGCUAUUUGCUGGGUCAGUCCCAGGUCCUACUGGAGCUCUUAGGCUCCUGAUGAGUACCAGCUGGGAGUCCUGGGGGAAGAGCUAUAUAACAGCAAAUUCUUCCCUCCAGAAGUGCCCUUAGCUAUAUAGAUCCUUCUGUUUUGUUGUUGGGCCUGCCUCUUGCCUGGUCUUUCCUGCUCCUGGUUCCCGUUGUGGCUC